rnacentral:rRNA from 1 species
GAUGGAGAGUUUGAUCCUGGCUCAGGGCGAACGCUGGCGGCGUGCUUUAGACAUGCAAGUCGAACGGAGACCAGGGGCUUCGGCCCUUGGAAUUAGUGGCGAACGGCGGAGUAACAUGUGGGUAACCUGCCCCGAAGACUGGGACAACCUCGGGAAACUGAGGCUAAUACCGGAUGUGGCCUCCGAGGCUUCGGCCUUGGCGACCAAACGAAUUUCGCUUCGGGAUGGGCCCGCGUCCUAUCAGCUAGUUGGCGAGGUAACGGCUCACCAAGGCGACGACGGGUAGCUGGUCUGAGAGGAUGACCAGCCCGACUGGGACUGAGACACGGCCCAGACUCCUACGGGAGGCAGCAGUCGGGAAUCUUGGGCAAUGGGCGCAAGCCUGACCCAGCGACGCCGCGUGGAGGACGAAGCCCUUCGGGGUGUAAACUCCUUUUAUCGAGGAAGACAAUUGACGGUACUCGAAGAAUAAGCCCCGGCUAACUACGUGCCAGCAGCCGCGGUAAUACGUAGGGGGCGAGCGUUGCCCGGAUUUACUGGGCGUGAAGAGCGCGUAGGCGGUUUGGCAAGUCUGGUGUGAAAUCUCACGGCUCAACCGGGAGGCUGCACUGGAUACUGCCGAACUGGAGCACGGUAGAGGGGAUCAGAAUUCCUGGUGUAGCGGUGGAAUGCAUUGAUAUCAGGAGGAAUACCAGUGGCGAAGGCGGAUCCCUGGGCCGUUGCUGACGCUGAGGCGCGAAAGCUGGGGGAGCGAAAGGGAUUAGAUACCCCUGUAGUCCCAGCCCUAAACGAUGGGCGCUAGGUGUCGGCGGUUCAUCCGUCGGUGCCGCAGCUAACGCAUUAAGCGCCCCGCCUGGGGAGUACGGCCGCAAGGUUGAAACUCAAAGGAAUUGACGGGGCCCCGCACAAGCGGUGGAGCAUGUGGAUUAAUUCGAUACUAACCGAAGAACCUUACCUGGGUUUGACAUACUUCGGAAAGGCUUGCGAAAUCAGGCUCCUCGGCGCCCAAAAGGCGCCGACCGUCGUACACCGGUUGCAUGGCUGUCGUCAGCUCGUGCCGUGAGGUGUUUGGUUAAGUCCAACAACGAGCGCAACCCCUGUCCUCUGUUGCCACCGGGUAAUGCCGAGCACUCUGAGGAGACUGCCGUUACAAGACGGAGGAAGGUGGGGAUGACGUCAAGUCAGCAUGGCGGUUACAUCCAGGGCUUCACACAUGCUACAAUGGGCGGAACAAAGGGCCGCAAACCCGCGAGGGUGAGCUAAUCUCAAAAAUCCGUCCUCAGUUGGGAUCGCAGGCUGCAACUCGCCUGCGUGAACGCGGAAUCGCUAGUAACGGCGGGUCAGCUAUACCGCCGUGAAUACGUUCCCGGGGCUUGUACACACCGCCCGUCAAGUCACCCGAGUCGGUGGCACCCGAAGCCCGUGGCCCAACCCGCAAGGGAGGGAGCGGUCGAAGGUGCGAUUGGUAAGGGGGACUAAGUCGUAACAAGGUAGCCGUACCGGAAGGUGCGGCUGGAUCACCUCCUUU